CCUACGGGAGGCAGCAGUGGGGAAUAUUGCACAAUGGGGGAAACCCUGAUGCAGCGACGCCGCGUGGGUGACGAAGUAUUUCGGUAUGUAAAGCCCUAUCAGCAGGGAAGAAGAUGACAGUACCUGACCAAGAAGCCCCGGCUAACUACGUGCCAGUAGCCGCGGUAAUACGUAGGGGGCAAGCGUUAACCGGAUUUACUGGGUGUAAAGGGAGCGUAGGUGGCAUGGAAAGUCAGAAGUGAAAACCCGGGGCUUAACCCCGCGGAUUGCUUUUGAAACUGUCAGGCUGGAGUGCAGGAGGGGCAGGCGGAAUUCCUGGUGUAGCGGUGAAAUGCGUAGAUAUCAGGAGGAACACCGGGGGCGAAGGCGGCCUGCUGGACUGUAACUGACACUGAGGCUCGAAAGCGUGGGGAGCAAACAGGAUUAGAUACCCCAGUAGUC
rnacentral:rRNA from 1 species